rnacentral:tRNA from 1 species
GAGAGAGGCUUGCAGCAACAAAGACUGCUAAUCUUUGCCCCCAUAGUUGAAUUCUACGGCUCACUCA